rnacentral:rRNA from 1 species
GUCCAAAAUGACUCUCGGCAACGGAUAUCUCGGCUGUUGCAUCGAUGAAGAACGUAGCGAAAUGCGAUACUUGGUGUGAAUUGCAGAAUCCCGUGAACCAUCGA